AACGAACGCUGGCGGCAUGCCUAACACAUGCAAGUCGAACGAGCCCUUCGGGUCUAGUGGCUCACGGGUGCGUCACGCGUGGGAACCUGCCCUUAGGUUCGGAAUAACUCUCCGACUGGGGUGCUAAUACCGGAUAAUGUCUUCUGACCAAAGAUUUAUCGCCUUUGGAUGGGCCCGCGUUGGAUUAGCUGGUUGGUAGGGUAAAAGCCUACGAAGGCGACGAUGCAUAGCUGGUCUGAGAGGAUGAUCAGCGACACUGGGACUGAGACACGGCCGAGAAUCCUACGGGAGGCAGCAGAGGGGAAUAUUGGAAAAUGGGGGAAAGCCUGAUGCAGCAAUGCCGGGUGAGUGAUGAAGGCAUUAGGGUUGUAAAGCGCUUGUAACCGGGAUGAUAAUGACAGUACCGGGAGAAUAAGCUCCGGCUAACUCCGUG
rnacentral:rRNA from 1 species